AAAUUGAAGAGUUUGAUCAUGGCUCAGAUUGAACGCUGGCGGCAGGCCUAACACAUGCAAGUCGAACGGUAACAGGAAACAGCUUGCUGUUUCGCUGACGAGUGGCGGACGGGGGAGUAAUGUCUGGGAAACUGCCUGAUGGAGGGGGAUAACUACUGGAAACGGUAGCUAAUACCGCAUAACGUCGCAAGACCAAAGAGGGGGAC
rnacentral:rRNA from 1 species